rnacentral:rRNA from 1 species
CCUACGGGUGGCAGCAGUGGGGAAUAUUGGACAAUGGGCGAAAGCCUGAUCCAGCCAUGCCGCGUGUGUGAAGAAGGUCUUCGGAUUGUAAAGCACUUUAAGUUGGGAGGAAGGGUUGUAGAUUAAUACUCUGCAAUUUUGACGUUACCGACAGAAUAAGCACCGGCUAACUCUGUGCCAGCAGCCGCGGUAAUACAGAGGGUGCAAGCGUUAAUCGGAAUUACUGGGCGUAAAGCGCGCGUAGGUGGUUUGGUAAGUUGGAUGUGAAAUCCCCGGGCUCAACCUGUGAACUGCAUUCAAAACUGACUGACUAGAGUAUGGUAGAGGGUGGUGGAAUUUCCUGUGUAGCGGUGAGAUGCGUAGAUAUAGGAAGGAACAACAGUGGCGAAGGCGGCCACCGGGACUAGUGCAGACGCUGAGGUGCGAAAGCGUGGGGAGCAGACAGAAGUAGAUACCCUAGAAGUC